rnacentral:rRNA from 1 species
ACGUACAAACCUUAUCGAUAAACAAUUGGAGGGCAAGUCUGGUGCCAGCAGCCGCGGUAAUUCCAGCUCCAAUAGCGUAUAUUAACGUUGUUGCAGUUAAAAAGCUCGUAGUUGAAGUGAAGUGAACAAAGAAGAGAAGAAUCUUCGGAUUCGGAUCUAAUGCGUUGACUCUUUCCAAAGUCAAUGUAUGGGUAUUCAUUUAUCUAUAUAUUGUGUUUGGUCGUUUACUGUGAGAAAAUUAGAGUGUUCAAAGCAGACGUUUGUUUGAAUACAUUAGCAUGGAAUAAUCAUAUAAGGCUUUCAUGUGUAUUUGAUUGGUUUGGAUAUGAAAGCAAGGUUAAUAGGGACAGUUGGGGGUAUUCAUAUUCAAUAGUCAGAGGUGAAAUUCUCG